UGCCAAAUUUCUACAUGCCAGUCAAGGAC
rnacentral:piRNA from 1 species